AUACGUGUCGACCUCGAAUCAGGUAAGGAUACCCGCUGAACUUAAGCAU
rnacentral:rRNA from 2 species